rnacentral:rRNA from 1 species
AUUGAACGCUGGCGGCAGGCCUAACACAUGCAAGUCGAACGAGUGGCGGACGGGUGAGUAAUGUCUGGGAAACUGCCCGAUGGAGGGGGAUAACUACUGGAAACGGUAGCUAAUACCGCAUACCAUCGGAUGUGCCCAUAUGGGAUUAGCUAGUAGGUGGGGUAAAGGCUCACCUAGGCGACGAUCCCUAGCUGGUCUGAGAGGAUGACCAGCCAAAAUGGAACUGAGACACGGUCCAGCCGCCGACGGGAGGCAGGCGUGGGGAAUAUUGCACAAUGGGCGCAAGCCUGAUGAAGCCAUGCCGCGUGUAUGAAGAAGGCCGUCGGGUUGUAAAGUACUUUCAGCGGGGAGGCGUUACCCGCAGAAGAAGCACCGGCUAACUCCCGGCCAGCAGCCGCGGUAAUAC